GCGCGAAAACUUUACAAUGCUGGCAACAGCGAUAAGGGGACCUCGAGUGCCAGGUUACAAAUCUGGCUGUCGAGAUGCCUAAAAAGCAUUUCAUAGCAAGGGCCGGGCAAGACCGGUGCCAGCCGCCGCGGUAACACCGGCGGCUCGAGUGGUAACCGUUAUUAUUGGGUCUAAAGGGUCUGUAGCCGGCCGGAUAAGUCUCUUGAGAAAUCUGGCAGCUUAACUGUCAGGCUUUCAGGAAAUACUGUCUGGCUCGAGGCCGGGAGAGGUGAGAGGUACCUCAGGGGUAGGGGUGAAAUCUUGUAAUCCUUGAAGGACCACCAGUGGCGAAGGCGUCUCACCAGAACGGACCUGACGGCAAGGGACGAAAGCUAGGGGCACGAACCG
rnacentral:rRNA from 1 species